CCUUGGGCAGCGGCAGGGGCAGCUUCUCCUGAGGCGGGGGCUUGGGCCGGCCACGCUGCCUGGGGACUGGGGGUCGGGGGAGAAACAUUGCGGCUGCAACGCAGGGGUGCUAGGACCCGGGGAGCGGCCCAUGAUCGGGUUCCGGGUCCGCACCCGGCUCCGCGUAGGGUUUACUCCGCGCCAGGCCCUGCCCCCUGCCCGGCCCCCUUCCCGCCCACUGCCCUGGCCCGUCCUGCCCCCUGACCAGCUCCGCCCCGCCCGCCCGCCCUCCGCCUGGUCCCGGCGGCGGUCAGAGCGCGGCCGGCCGAGCCGGGGCACCGCGGCGGAGGCGCAGCAUCCCGCAGCACAGACGGUCCGGCCCGCCUAGCAUGGCGCCGAGGUGGCCCUGGCUGCGACCGCGGCGGCGGCGCCUCCUGGACUUGCUCGCCCCCCUGGUCCUGCUGCUUGGGGUCGGCGCGGCGUCCGCAGAGCCAGAAUCUGCUGGCACAGGCUGUUCUUAGCACGAGAGGCGCCCUUCUGCUUUGGGGAGACUUGAGCCGAUGUGAAAGCGGUGCCUGGAGGGCACGUCCCAGCAGCGGUUGAACCGCAUCUUGGUGCCCACCGUGCGAAAAAGUAAGCUUCUCUCGUCCUGGGAACGGGGAGGGCCCGGGGAAGAGCACCGACCCAGCUGCUGGGAGCUGGAGGCCGAAUGCAUCUCUGCUGGGGCCCAAGUCCAGAGCCCCCACGGCCUGUAGGGCGAAGGGACACCUUUCUUCCCCGUUUCCAUUUAGGCAACCAGGGGACGUCAUCUUGGAAGGGAAACCGUGAUCUGUGUGGAUGAGGCUGCUUUGACAGUGUGACGCGGGAAGAUUCUCCCCCUCCCCUUGCAGUCGGGAGGGCAGGGCCGUGGGAGGAGGGGGUGAUGUUCCUAAUGCAGGGUGGGCCUGAGCCCCUGAGGUGGGCCUGCCUGCCCCUGAGCUCCCCUGGACCAGCCCGUUGGCCCACGGAGCCAGGGUCUCCUCCAAGCUGGGGUUUCUGCAUCUGGGGCCGGGGGUCGGGGUUCGCGUUAGAGGAGAGCUUGGGAAGGCCUUCCUCUCGCCCCGGCUGGUCCGGGGCUGGGAGGCGGUGGGUGGUGAACCCAGCCACCUGGCCCCUUGGUCCAUUAACCUCCUCUUUCCUGAGUCGUUUUUGAGCCCCUCUGUUUGCGCCCUGCCUGCCCCAAACAGGAGGGUGCACAGCAGUGCCCCUGGGUGACCGUUAUCUCCCCAGCAGGCCGAGAGCAUCCACUCUGGGGUCUGGGCUUAUCUGGGGAGGCCCCAUGGCAGUGCUGGGGCUGAGUGCGGAGGGGGCUGUGUGUGGGACCUUCGGGAGGUGGUGGACAUCCCUCCGGAUGGAUAUUAGUUCCGUGCAACUUUUCAGUCCAAACCGCCAGGGGUGGGCACUGUCACUUUGAAAAUCCUGCUAAUCUGAUAGAUGGAGAAAUACCACCCUGUGCUCUAUUCUGUGAGUUUCCGUCCAGCGGGGGCGCAGGUUCUGGAGUGUUCCUUGGCCUUCGCGUCUCUCCUUUUGCUCUGACAUCCAUCCUCCGUCUGUGUGCUGUCGUCCUCCUUGUCAUGCCUGCCUGUGGUGUCACCUCCUGGGGGCACAUUUGGCAUAUUUUCUAGUGUGUGGGCAGGCUUUAAUUGGGAACGUGAAAUUUCGAAAGCAGGGUGUUGUUUUUUUCCCUUAUUUUUAUGGCCUUUUCCUGUAGAGGUAGGACACGCGUGACGAUCACGGCUCAGGGACAGCGGCCUGGGCUUAUCUGCGUUGCAGGGGUGAUGCGGGGGUCGUGAGAAUUCAGAGAGGGAAACUGCGCGCGCCAGCAGGCAGAGUGCUGGGGGGCCACGUGCUGCAUGUGGCUUUGGUGGGCGUGGAGUUAGAGCUAGUGCUUGCAGAAAACAAGUAUGGAGUCACUGAAUCGUGGUCUAUUGCCGCUGGCUGGCAGCCUGGCUGGCCACUUUGUGUUUGUGGAUGGGACGCCAUCUGCCAUGUGGGUUGAGAGCCCAGGCUCCAGGUUUUAGCUCCAGCUUUGCUUCUGAGCGCUGUGUGACCUUUGGCAGAUCCCUCACCGUCUCUGUGCCUCUGGUCUGUAAAGUGGGGAGGGCAGUGGGGCUCUGUGGGACUGAAUAGGGCAUUCCUGCAGGGAGCUUCCUGGGAUGUGUCCUGACGGCUCCUCCUUGGGCUCUGGGGACACCGUCGGGGAUGGCCUAAGCCACCCGUCAGGGCGGGGCCUGGAAGGAGGGCCUGGUGAGCACCAAGAGCAGGAAGUGGGUCCUCGUGACCGGAACAGUUUUUGUGCUUCUUACUUGGCCGUGGGCUGCGCCUGCUAAGACCAUCGUGUGUUUUAGACAAAGCGGCCCACUCACGCCCGCCGCUCCGAAGUCCUGCAAGUGUUCUGGGCCUGGGCGCCCGCGUGGUCUCGCCCACCCACGUGUCCCGUGGGGGUGAUCCCGGGAUCGCAGACCUGCCUCUGCCUGCUGGAUCUUGUCCCGAGGCUGCUGUAGUUCGAAAAACGCUCCCACUGAGAUUCCGCGGAGCCUCUUGCUCUGUGCAGCCAGGCCGGUUCCCGGGCUUCCCGCAUUGAGGCCCCGUCUGUGCUGGGAAUCUGAGCUCAGCCUGAUGGGGCGUCUUUCGUCCGGGCAGUGCUUGCUCAGAGGACAACAGACGGGGCGGCGUCCUUUCUGUCCUCUGUAACCCCAGCCUUCCAACCAGAACGAAGGGAAGCCACCCUUGAUCCCGUGCACGCCCACCUUCGGGGUCUCCCCACCUGGGGUAGACCUGCUCCCUCGCCAGUGGCUCUACCCCAGGCCGCCAGGCACCCCCACAGGCCCAGCUCAGACCCUCCUUCCCCUCCACACACGGCCGAGGGCUUUGAAAGGCAGGCCCCCCGGGAGAGGGCGCAGCCAGCCAUGGGGACAGGCUUUUUCUACCAUAAAUGAUCAUUUCAACUAGACAGCUUUCCUUCUGCCGCCCUCGGCGUGUCCACACCUGGCCCUGAGCCACCUCUGCUCCUGUCCUCUUGGCCCCCGGAGGAGAGCACGGCCCUUUCUGAGCCCAGAUGCCCCUGCAGGGCCCGGCCCUCCUGCCCCACUUCAAGCUUCCGGCUGUCACUUUCUGGCUCGCUUCUCCUCACUUCCCCAAGGCUGACCCAGGGCUGCGGGCUUGCCAUGCUUCCGCACCGGCGGGUAGCGUUGGCAGCGGCCUCUGCGUGUCUUGGGUCCUCCCAUCUUGGCCUUGUCCCCCGUGGCACCGGGGGACCCAUCUUGUUCCAGGUCACUGGUGUCCUUGGGGCAGCCAGGACCUUCCUGUUUUCUGGCUAACGUGGGCCUCCAUCCCCAGGGGACUCGGGCCCGGCUGGCGCUGACUCGGAAUCUGCGAUGCUCUGCUGUUCCUUCUUUCAUGACCUUAUAUUGUGGCAAUAGUCAAGAAUGCCGUGGAGCCUCAGAAGCCAGAAGGAAAAAGUACCCGUUCCAGCGCAGCCUUUACUGUCAGUGUGGGGGAAAUGGGACACCUUAAACGGACCCGGGCUGCCCUCCCUGCUGACUCCACUCCCGGCCUGUGUGGACGGCCCCUCUGGGUGCGGAAGCCUCAGGGCCCCCCGGAAAGCCAGCCGCAAGCGGGUCUGCUUCCCAGAUGGGAACACAUCCCCACCCCACCGCCCACUCCUGGGCGGCGCGCUGGCCUCCCAAGCGCCUGACUGCCCCCCAUUUGAGACCCUAGACAACCCCACCUCCCAGCGUUGAAAUGUUUUCUUCCCGUGGCAUAUGGUCUGCUGAACGUCAGCCCCCAAGGCCUCGCCGUCCUGAUCCACAGGGCCGUGAACGCUGCUUUACGCGGUAAAGAGGGCUUCGGGUGGGAUGAGGCUCUUGAGCUGUGGAGAUAACCCUGGAUUAUCCGGGUGGGUCUACAUGUAAUCCUACGUCCUAAGAAGGGAUGAGGGAGGCCAGAGGGUCAGGUCAGAACAAGGAGACGUGGCGAUGGAAGCAAAGGUUGAGGGAGAGAUUGGAAUACAGGAAGGGGCUACGAGCCUAGGAACACAGGCGGCUUCUAGAUGCUGGAACCGGGGGACUGGGUCCUCCCUGGGGCCCCCGGAAAGGAGCACAGUCGUGCCGACACCUGGGAUUUAGGCCUCUGGCCUCCAGAACUGUGGAGCGCAGCUCGUGUGGUUUCCAGCCCCUGACUUUGGGGUCAUUUGCUCCAGCAGCUGCAGGACACUGGCCAGUGUGUGGCUAGGUCAGUGGCAGGGGUGGAGUCGUGGUGACGCAAAUCCUCUCAUUGGAAAAGUGCUGCUUCUCCACAGUGUGAAACCUCUGAUACGUUCGAAGGCCUUGGGACACCCACGCCCUGUACAGGGCCCCUGAGUGCCCUUCCUGACCCCCAAGUCCCGAGGGUCGACUCCCCGUCCUGCGCACCCAGCACCCUGGGCUGGGGACUCUCUGUGGAGAGGUUAGAGGGGCCUCCAUCCUAGGAACCUCUUAGAGCUCAGCGGGACCCAUUCUCAGGCCCUAGAAUGACCUCCGCGUGUCCCCGGGUGGCGCCUUGAACGGGGGAGGGAGGCGGGCGGACAGAGGGCAGGUGAGCGGGGCCGGGGCAGACGUCGGGACGCUCGACAGUGCCUGGACGGGCCUGUGGGCAAGGGGACUGUGUGUGUGGGGUCUGUCCUGGGUCUGUCUCCGGCAGGGCCCUCGCAGGCCAGGGGCGGGUGUUAUCGUCCACAAGGCUGGACAGCAGCCCGCUCUGUUCUGUUUUUGGAGAAUGAGGCAAAUGGCACAGGAUCACAUUCCCAGCGAGCGCCAGUUCUGCGCAGUGUCCUGGCGUGUCGCAGAAAGGGUUUAUAAAGUAAAGCGGACCAGUUGCCGAGCAGGUGGAUGGUACUCAGCACCAGUGCCUGUCAGCCUCCAGCCGUCUUGGGUACUGGCUGGACCUUCAGUUAUCCGGGUGCUGGGUGGACCUUCAGUUAUCCGGGUGCUGGGUGGACCUUCAGUUAUCUGAGGUGGACCUUCAGUUAUCCGGUGCCGGGUGGACCUUCAGUUAUCCGAGGUGGACCUUCAGUUAUCCGAGGUGGACCUUCAGUUAUCCGGUGCCGGGUGGACCUUCAGUUAUCCGAGGUGGACCUUCAGUUAUCUGAGGUGGACCUUCAGUUAUCUGAGGUGGACCUUCAGUUAUCCGGUGCUGGGUGGACCUUCAGUUAUCCGAGGUGGACCUUCAGUUAUCUGAGGUGGACCUUCAGUUAUCCGGUGCCGGGUGGACCUUCAGUUAUCCGAGGUGGACCUUCAGUUAUCUGAGGUGGACCUUCAGUUAUCUGAGGUGGACCUUCAGUUAUCCGGUGCCGGGUGGACCUUCAGUUAUCCGAGGUGGACCUUCAGUUAUC